rnacentral:rRNA from 1 species
GUGUCAGCAGCCGCGGUAAUACGUAGGUGGCAAGCGUUGUCCGGAUUUAUUGGGUUUAAAGGGUGCGUAGGUGGUCUUGUAAGUCAGUGGUGAAAUCCGGCAGCUUAACUGUCGAUGUGCCAUUGAUACUGUGAGACUUGAGUACAGACGAGGUAGGCGGAAUUGACGGUGUAGCGGUGAAAUGCUUAGAUAUCGUCAAGAACACCGAUAGCGAAGGCAGCUUACUAGACUGUAACUGACACUGAUGCACGAAAGUGUGGGGAUCAAACAGGAUUAGAAACCCCAGUAGUCC